AUGAUCAGGGGUGACCUCUUAUGAUCUGAGCAUCUGGACACCAUACGGUUGUUAAACUACUUUUGAAUUGACAUUAAGACACAUUUACUUGGGCAAUUAAUGACAUCUGGAAGGAGUAUGAGGUGGAGAAGCUGGAGAUAGUAGACAUGGAAAAGCAAAAGGCAGAAAAACUUGUUUGAGAAAGGGAGGUAGAAUGUGAAGAAGAAUCUAGGCAGCACUUAAUGCGUGUUCAGGAGGAACAUACUGCGCUGCAGGAACAUGACAAUAUGGAACAAAGUCUAAAAGCUAAACACAGUGAAGAGCUAAGGCAGAUCCAACUUCAAGCUGAAAACAAGUUGAGAGAUAGUUGGAAGAGGCAAUCAGGGAGAUUGAGCAACUGAAGAACGAGAGAGAGAGUUUGCGUGCAGAACUGAGGGUAUUGUGGGAAUUUGCAGACUCAAUUGACACAAGCACAAGAAGACGUUCAGCUAUUGAGAACCAGUGUUGGGACUUUGGGAACUCAAUUGACACAAUUACAAGAAAUCAUUCAGGAAUGGAACACCGAAGUUGGGAAUUUGCACACACAUUCUUGAAUGCUUUCUUGUACGUGUUCCCAACACUGGUUCUCAGUACCUGAACGUCUUCUUGUGCUUGUGUCAGCUGAGUCUGCAAAUUCCCAAAAUGCCUCGGUUCUGCAUGCAAACUAUCUCUCCUUCAGUUGGUCAAUCUUCCUGACUGCCUCUUCAUGCAGCUUUAAGCUCAAACUUAGUUGGGUCUAAUAUGCCUAAGUUACUGGACUGAGAGCUUUGAGGCUUCAGCAUGAAGAUGAGAUUAAGACGCUUCAGGAGGACUUGGAUCUUCCAAAGUACUUAUCUUCCCCAUGUUCUUUCUGAAUUUCUUUUUU